AAUCCAGCGAGCGAGUCCUCCUCGGCUCCUCGCCGUCGCAGCCACUCCCUGCCCGCCCCCCCCCGCGCCGCCUCGCAUCACCAGUGCUCCUCGCCGGCUUCAGCUCCUCCGCGAAUUUAUCACAUUACCUGAGGCGAGUUCUGUCGCUGAUGGUGGCCAUGGCGAGGAAGGAUGAGGAAGAGGGGCCCGCGGACCGCGUGCCGCACCUGCCGUGGAUGCGGUACCCCGUCGACAUCGACGCUUUCUCCGGCUGCCCCGUCGCGCAGCUUCCCCGCCUCGACCCCAGAUUAGCAGAGGCUUUGCAGAGAAUGGGAAUUGAAUCAUUUUUUCCAGUUCAAGAAGCAGCUUGGGUGGAAACGAUUGGUCCUGGUGCUUUUGAGAGGGAUGUAUGUAUUAACUCCCCAACUGGAUCUGGCAAAACUCUAGCUUAUGCCCUACCUAUUGUGCAAAUGCUCUCCACACGGAAAGUAAGGUGCUUACGUGCUUUGGUUGUGCUUCCUACACGGGAUUUAGCCUUGCAGGUUAAAGAGGUUUUUGAUGCUAUUGCUCCUGUGGUGGGCUUGUCAGUAGGUUCAGCAGUUGGCCAAUCUUCAAUUGCAGAUGAAGUUUCCAAUCUUGUCAGGAAGCCCAAACAAGAGCUUUACCCAACUAUUGAUGAAGAAUAUGUCAAAAUGGAACCACAGACUAAAGUUGAUAUAUUGGUGGCAACACCUGGAAGACUGAUGGAUCACAUUAACAUGACAAACGGUUUCAGUCUGGAGCAUCUUCAGUACCUGGUCAUUGAUGAAACAGAUAGGAUGUUAAGAGAGGCUUACCAAUCCUGGUUGCCAACAGUUAUCGAACUUAAACACUCAAUUGGCAAAGAUCGUUCCUGGCACGACACUGAUGUGAAAACUCUACUUCAUCCAUUGACUACUGUUAGAAGAUCAGGUGUUGAGCGUGGGUUUAAAGGUAAAUGCUAUCCAAGAUUAGCAAAGAUAGUUUUGUCUGCUACACUGACUCAAGAUCCUAGCAAGCUUUCUCAACUCGAGCUGCACCACCCCUUAUUGUUGAAUAGUGGGAAGAAGCGUUACAGAAUUCCUGCAAAACUUGAAUCCUACAAACUGAUUUGUACAUCAAACUUAAAGCCACUUUCUCUCAUUGUUCUUCUCCAAGAGCUGCAAGGGAACAAGUGCUUAGUUUUUACCUCAUCUGUAGAAUCAAGCCACAGACUAAGCACGUUGCUGGGAUUUUUUGAAGACUUGCCCUUUAAAUUUAGUGAAUAUUCACGCUUGCAGCGAGAAUCUACUCGAAGGAAAACACUGGAGGCCUUCAAGGAAGGGGAAAUCGAUGUUCUAAUAGGUACUGAUAGAAUGGCUCGUGGAAUACAUAUUGAUGGUUUAAGAUAUGUUAUCAAUUAUGAUAUGCCACCAUAUGUGAAAACAUACAUACAUCGAGCGGGGCGGACUGCAAGAGCAGGGGAGUUUGGUUCCUGCUUCACCUUUUUAAGAAAACAUGAGGUUAAAACUUUUAACAAAAUGCUGAAGAAGGCUGACAAUGCUAGCUGCAGUCGUCAUUCAUUGCCUGAGGAAUCGAUAGAAACACUUCGUCCAGUUUUCUCCAGUGCUCUGAAAAAACUGGAAGAGUCUCUGGAAUCAGAAGCAGCAAAGAAAUCUAAUUCAGGAGAUAAAAUCCCAAGUGGUUCUAAACGAAAGAGAACAAACCAGAAGUGAAGCAAUAGAUUAGCUUUAGUUCUGCAGUAUUGAUGUCGCAUCUGCAUUUGCUACAGAGAUUUGCCAGCAUGACUUCUUAAAAUCUUGGUGACAUAAUUUCAGAUUCCUACUUCUAUAUGCCCAUAUCAUCUAGGUAGUUCUGAGCCCCAACAAUUCUGUAACUGGUUGGUCGUUCAUUAUGGAUACCCAAAGUAAGACGGAUGAUUUCAUAUGUUUGCUGUGCAUUCCUGUGUCCUACCUCCGCGCAACUUUCGCCAUGCCUUCAACAGGCCGAUCCAUUUUGAUGAAUGGUACAGUAAAUUUCUCGGUCAUGGACAGUUGGAAAAGCAUCCUUCUUUCCCUUAUGUGGUGUUCAUCAUUCACUGUGCAUUUAUGGCUGGAAGGAGGCCACCCCAAAGAAAAAGUUGGGUACCUUCACAUCAAUGUAUCGGCAGCAGUAACCUUUCAGUUAUGCUUUACACUUGGAAUAUUCCUUUCUGUCUUUGUCAAUACAAUUUUUUUACUCAAUUAUUUAGUGCCAUUGAUCGGGAAAUGUCAAACUAGCAUAUCACUCGACUGAAAACCUCAUUUCCUUC